CCUGAUCAGGUAGAGAAUACCAAGGCGAUCGAGUGAACCAUGGUUAAGGAACUCGGCAAAAUGCCCCCGUAACUUCGGGAGAAGGGGGGCCGGAUGCGUUACCUCACUUGCUGGGGGAAGCGUUGAUGGCCGCAGAGACCAGGCCCAAGCGACUGUUUACUAAAAACACAGGUCCGUGCGAAGAAGUAAUUCGAUGUAUACGGACUGACGCCUGCCCGGUGCUGGAACGUUAAGGGGACAGGUUAGCUGGUUUAGGCCGGCGAAGCUUUGAACUUAAGCGCCAGUAAACGGCGGUGGUAACUAUAACCAUCCUAAGGUAGCGAAAUUCCUUGUCGGGUAAGUUCCGACCUGCACGAAUGGCGUAACGACUUGGGCGCUGUCUCAACCAUGGACUCGGCGAAAUUGCAUUACGAGUAAAGAUGCUCGUUACGCGCAGCAGGACGGAAAGACCCCGGGACCUUUACUACAACUUGGUAUUGGUGGUCGGUACAACUUGUGUAGGAUAGGUGGGAGACUGUGAAAUCCGGACGCCAGUUCGGGUGGAGUCAUCGUUGAAAUACCACUCUGGUUGUUCUGGCUGUCUAACUUCGGUCCAUUAUCUGGAUCAGGGACAGUGCCUGGUGGGUAGUUUGACUGGGGCGGUCGCCUCCUAAAAGGUAACGGAGGCGCUCAAAGGUUCCCUCAGCCUGGUUGGCAAUCAGGUGUCGAGUGUAAGUGCACAAGGGAGCUUGACUGUGAGACAGACAUGUCGAGCAGGGACGAAAGUCGGAACUAGUGAUCCGGCGGUGGCAUGUGGGAGCACCGUCGCUCAACGGAUAAAAGGUACCCCGGGGAUAACAGGCUGAUCUUCCCCAAGAGUCCAUAUCGACGGGAUGGUUUGGCACCUCGAUGUCGGCUCGUCGCAUCCUGGGGCUGGAGUAGGUCCCAAGGGUUGGGCUGUUCGCCCAUUAAAGCGGCACGCGAGCUGGGUUUAGAACGUCGUGAGACAGUUCGGUCCCUAUCCGCUGCGCGCGCAGGAGACUUGAGAAGGGCUGCCCCUAGUACGAGAGGACCGGGGUGGACGAACCUCUGGUGUGCCAGUUGUUCCGCCAGGAGCACGGCUGGUUGGCUACGUUCGGGAGUGAUAACCGCUGAAAGCAUCUAAGCGGGAAGCACGCUUCAAGAUGAGGUCUCCCACCGAGUUAAUCGGGUAAGGCCCCCAGUAGACCACUGGGUUGAUAGGCCAGAGGUGGAAGCGCCGUAAGGUGUGGAGCUGACUGGUACUAAUAGGCCGAGGGCUUGUCUCA
rnacentral:rRNA from 1 species